rnacentral:rRNA from 1 species
UACGGAGGAUGCAAGCGUUAUCCGGAAUGAUUGGGCGUAAAGCGUCCGUAGGCGGCUCAGUAAGUCGGGUGUGAAACCUCCAGGCUCAACCUGGAGACGCCACCUGAUACUGCUGUGGCUAGAGUCCGGUAGGGGAGCGUGGAAUUCCUGGUGUAGCGGUGAAAUGCGCAGAUAUCAGGAGGAACACCAGCGGCGAAGGCGGCGCUCUGGGCCGGAACUGACGCUGAGGAGCGAAAGCGUGGGUAGCAAACAGG